CGUCCCCGGACCCGUCAUCUCCUUCGACCCGGUGAGUUCCCGUCCAAUUGCCCCUACUUGGCAAACCGGACGUGGUCGAGGAUGCCGUCUCCUGCUCGCAAGCUUCGAUGUCAACUCGGACUCAAUCUCUCUCUCUGCUUCGGUGGCAGCGAUGAAGUUGAAGCUGACCCCUCGACUCGAGCUAGCGGCGGCUCUGCUGCUGAUUAGCUGCUUCGCUUCCCAGAUCCAAGCUUCUGAUGUGGUACUCGAACUUUCUUCAACGGCAUCCUCGACCACGUCUAGUCCACCAAGUGGGGGCCGUCGGACGGGAACUCGCUGGGUUGAAGGAGAGGGCGGGUCUGGGGACGAUGAACGGUGGAGGGGGAUGAGGAAGACGAUGAAUAGUGGAGGAGAGAGAGGGGUUGGAGCAAAAUUGAAAAAGUACGGAACACAACAUCGUCAUUUUUUUCCUGUUUAAUUUAAUUUUUGGUAUACUGUAUAAUAUUAAUAUAUUAUACAUCAACAUGGAAGCUACUACCAACAUAAUUGUAAGUCUCGUUUUGACUUUUGAGAA